GUGGGGAAUAUUGGGCAAUGGGGGAAACCCUGACCCAGCAACGCCGCGUGAAGGAAGAAGGCUUUCGGGUUGUAAACUUCUUUUACCAGGGAAAAACACAAUGAUGGUACCUGGAGAAAAAGCUACGGCUAACUACGUGCCAGCAGCCGCGGUAAUACGUAGGUGGCAAGCGUUGUCCGGAAUUACUGGGUGUAAAGGGCGUGUAGGCGGAACUACAAGUCAGGGGUGAAAACUAUGAGCUUAACCCAUAGCCUGCCUUUGAAACUGUAGUCCUUGAGUGCUGGAGAGGCAAUUGGAAUUCCUAGUGUAGCGGUGAAAUGCGUAGAUAUUAGGAGGAACACCAGUGGCGAAGGCGAAUUGCUGGACAGUAACUGACGCUGAGGCGCGAAAGCGUGGGGAGCAAACAGGAUUAGAAACCCUUGUAGUCC
rnacentral:rRNA from 1 species